CCCCAGGUCCCUCUCUCUGUGUAUAAUACCAUUCUCCCCAGGUCCCUCUCUCUGUGUAUAAUACCAUUCUCCCCAGGUCCAGUCCCUCUCUCUGUGUAUAAUACCAUUCUCCCCAGGUCCAGUCCCUCUCUCUGUGUAUAAUACCAUUCUCCCCAGGUCCAGUCCCUCUCUCUGUGUAUAAUACCAUUCUCCCCAGGUCCCUCUCUGUGUAUAAUACCAUUCUCCCCAGGUCCCUCUCUGUGUAUAAUACCAUUCUCCCCAGGUCCCUCUCUCUGUGUAUAAUACCAUUCUCCCCAGGUCUCUCUCUGUGUAUAAUACCAUUCUCCCCAGGUCCCUCUCUCUGUGUAUAAUACCAUUCUCCCCAGGUCCCUCUCUCUGUGUAUAAUACCAUUCUCCCCAGGUCCCUCUCUGUGUAUAAUACCAUUCUCCCCAGGUCCCUCUCUCUGUGUAUAAUACCAUUCUCCCCAGGUCCCUCUCUCUGUGUAUAAUACCAUUCUCCCCAGGUCCCUCUCUCUGUGUAUAAUACCAUUCUCCCCAGGUCCCUCUCUCUGUGUAUAAUACCAUUCUCCCCAGGUCCCUCUCUCUGUGUAUAAUACCAUUCUCCCCAGGUCCCUCUCUCUGUGUAUAAUACCAUUCUCCCCAGGUCCCUCUCUCUGUGUAUAAUACCAUUCUCCCCAGGUCCCUCUCUCUGUGUAUAAUACCAUUCUCCCCAGGUCCCUCUCUCUGUGUAUAAUACCAUUCUCCCCAGGUCCCUCUCUGUGUAUAAUACCAUUCUCCCCAGGUCCCUCUCUCUGUGUAUAAUACCAUUCUCCCCAGGUCCCUCUCUGUGUAUAAUACCAUUCUCCCCAGGUCCCUCUCUCUGUGUAUAAUACCAUUCUCCCCAGGUCCAGUCCCUCUCUGUGUAUAAUACCAUUCUCCCCAGGUCCCUCUCUCUGUGUAUAAUACCAUUCUCCCCAGGUCCCUCUCUCUGUGUAUAAUACCAUUCUCCCCAGGUCCCUCUCUCUGUGUAUAAUACCAUUCUCCCCAGGUCCCUCUCUCUGUGUAUAAUACCAUUCUCCCCAGGUCCCUCUCUCUGUGUAUAAUACCAUUCUCCCCAGGUCCCUCUCUCUGUGUAUAAUACCAUUCUCCCCAGGUCUCUCUCUCUGUGUAUAAUACCAUUCUCCCCAGGUCUCUCUCUGUGUAUAAUACCAUUCUCCCCAGGUCUCUCUCUCUGUGUAUAAUACCAUUCUCCCCAGGUCCCUCUCUCUGUAUAUAAUACCAUUCUCCCCAGGUCUCUCUCUCUGUGUAUAAUACCAUUCUCCCCAGGUCCCUCUCUCUGUAUAUAAUACCAUUCUCCCCAGGUCCAGUCCCUCUCUCUGUGUAUAAUACCAUUCUCCCCAGGUCCAGUCCCUCUCUCUGUGUAUAAUACCAUUCUCCCCAGGUCCAGUCCCUCUCUCUGUGUAUAAUACCAUUCUCCCCAGGUCCCUCUCUCUGUGUAUAAUACCAUUCUCCCCAGGUCCCUCUCU